UGAACCAAUAACUGUAAGUCGCUUUGGAUAAAAGAGUCUGUUAAAUUACAUAUA
rfam:Salmo salar isolate Sally breed double haploid chromosome ssa10, whole genome shotgun sequence.